UACGAAGGGGGCGAGCGUUGUUCGGAAUUACUGGGCGUAAAGGGCGCGUAGGCGGCCGAUCAAGUCAGGCGUGAAAUUCCCGGGCUCAACCUGGGGGCUGCGCUUGAUACUGAUUGGCUUGAAUGCGGGAGAGGAUAGUGGAAUUCCCAGUGUAGAGGUGAAAUUCGUAGAUAUUGGGAAGAACACCGGUGGCGAAGGCGGCUAUCUGGCCCGUAAUUGACGCUGAGGCGCGAAAGCGUGGGGAGCAAACAGG
rnacentral:rRNA from 1 species